UCAGAUUGAACGCUGGCGGCAGGCCUAACACAUGCAAGUCGAGCGGAUGAAGGGAGCUUGCUCCUGGAUUCAGCGGCGGACGGGUGAGUAAUGCCUAGGAAUCUGCCUGGUAGUGGGGGAUAACGUCCGGAAACGGGCGCUAAUACCGCAUACGUCCUACGGGAGAAAGCAGGGGACCUUCGGGCCUUGCGCUAUCAGAUGAGCCUAGGUCGGAUUAGCUUGUUGGUGAGGUAAUGGCUCACCAAGGCUGCGAUCCGUAACUGGUCUGAGAGGAUGAUCAGUCACACUGGAACUGAGACACGGUCCAGACUCCUACGGGAGGCAGCAGUGGGGAAUAUUGGACAAUGGGCGAAAGCCUGAUCCAGCCAUGCCGCGUGUGUGAAGAAGGUCUUCGGAUUGUAAAGCACUUUAAGUUGGGAGGAAGGGUUGUAGGUUAAUACCCUGCAAUUUUGACGUUACCGACAGAAUAAGCACCGGCUAACUUCGUGCCAGCAGCCGCGGUAAUACGAAGGGUGCAAGCGUUAAUCGGAAUUACUGGGCGUAAAGCGCGCGUAGGUGGUUUGUCAAGUUGGAAGUGAAAGCCCCGGGCUCAACCUGGGAACUGCUUUCAAAACUGGCAAGCUAGAGUAUGGCAGAGGGUGGUGGAAUUUCCUGUGUAGCGGUGAAAUGCGUAGAUAUAGGAAGGAACAUCAGUGGCGAAGGCGACCACCU
rnacentral:rRNA from 1 species